rnacentral:lncRNA from 1 species
UGAAACGGGCGGUGACAAAUAGUCAACUAGACUACUUGAGUUAAUCGGGUAUGCUAUAGAUGUUUUUCAUUCUAGCAUUUCUUGACACACUUCUUCUAA